rnacentral:rRNA from 1 species
AUGAGGAAGUGGGGGGAGGAAGUGGCGGGGGAGUUGGAGAGCCGCCUGAAGAAAGCGCGCCAGAGUCUAGAAAGAUGCAUGAGGGCUCCGGUAUCUGAGGAGAAAAUAAGAGAGGAGGCGAGGCUGAGAUGUAUGAUGGAGGACCUUGAAGAGAAGGAAAACACCAAAGCCAAACAAUUAUCACAUGUAUCUUGGCUAAGAGAUGGGAACAAGUGCACGCGCUAUUUCAUGGCAGUGGCGUCGGCGAGGAAGAAAGCAAAUAGAAUCAAGAUGUUGAGGAAGGAAGAUGGGACGGAGGUGAAGGAAGGAGAAAGGCUUAAUAACUAUGUGUGUUCAUUUUUUCAGGAUCUUUUCACUUCCGCCGGAGGAAGCCACUUGGUCAAGCUUCUCAACAAAGUGCAACCGCGCGUAACAGAUGCUAUGAGGGACAUCCUUGAAGCGGAAGUGUCCAGAGAGGAGGUCAAAGCAGCGCUUGACCACAUAGGUGAUCUCAAAGCCCCGGGGCCAGAUGGGAUGCCCUCAAUUGUGUACAAGAAACACUGGCACUUUAUGGGGAAUAAGGUGGUGGAUGAAGUGAUCUCGGUCCUCAAGGGGGGGCCAAAUGCCAGCUCAUUCCCAAAGUGA